UUAGAUAUAACUUUGAAAGACUUGCCUUUCCAUAUCCUUCUCUCUUGUUUCAUUCUUCCAAGACAAAGAAAUAAAACCACUUACCCUAUCUCAUUCUUAGCCUUUAAAAACUUCAUGAAACCACCAUAAAUUUCUAGUAAAUCAACCAGCAAAAUUCGUUUUUUGGUGAAGAUUAAGUUGCUCCUCUCUUUUGUGGUAAGUUUCUUAACUCGUUUUUACACUAGAUAGCUAUCAGUGUUUUCUACAUAUCUUUUUGUACAGAGCUCCGAUUUAAGUGAUCCAUGACUUUCUGAAAAGGUAUUUCAUAGAUCUAAAACUCCUAUGAAGGAACCAAAAUUUAUUUUUACUGGAAUUUACCCGAAAAGGGAUCAGAAAGUGCAGGGCAGGUGCUGCCCAGAUUUUCAGUUUUGGAAAUACUCCAUGAACUACUGUUAGUAAUUGUAGCAUAACUUUCUGUACAAAAUAGAUAUGGGGGUGAUUCAAGAUGUUCCGAAACACUACGACAUAUAUCUACAACUUUUAUGAAGACUAUACAGUCUAGUGUAUCCGUUUAGAUCUUCAAAACCGAGCCACAACAUGGAAUAGUGAUACUGUCCAGAAUUUCUGCUUCAAAUAUUUUUGGGUAAUUUUCACCAAUAUCAUGUUUAGUUUGACAUAUUAAAUCACUGAACUUAUUUAGAUAUUUUAUUAUGUAUUUAAGGUAUAUAAACCCUUGAAAAAUCAAAGGGAAAGUGUUUGAGGAAGUUGACGAAUUUGGUUUGUUUACGGCGUAGACGAUUCGAACGUCCCCAAGUUGUGAUUGAACUGUGUUGUGGUAAAACACAAAAGUUUGUGUACAGACUUUGUAAUCUUUUUGCUUGCUGGAAUAUUUUGAAAUAACCUAAUAUUUAUUUUUUAUUGUUUUCAAUUUAUAUUGUUAUAUUCGUAUUAUAUCAAGUAUUGUCAGAUAUUUGCUAAAUCGCUCAUUUGUACGGAUUGUUUGAUCAUUUUGCAUUCUUGUUGGGACUAUGUCCUUCUUGUGGCAGUGACUUUGUCACUCCUCUUGGUAUGCCUCUUGAUUUGGAUCUUUUUCCAUCUUGACUUUGGAUUUGUAGUUUGUCUUAAAUUAUGGAACUUGUCCGUGUUAAGUACGAACUAGGAAGCCAUUUUUAAUAUGGUUCUUGAUUCUCUUGACUAUUGAGUUUUGACCCUACUUGAUUUGGGGCUUCGGUCCAUCUUGAUAUUUGAUUAUGCUUAGUGUGAUGGCAUGACAUACAUAUUGGGCGAAAAAUGAAUAUUUGGUAAACUCUCUUGGAUUGAUAGUAUAUGCUUUCUAGACUCUUGAAUAUUCUUAUUAAUAUUUGGAAACACUUUAAAGUUUAAUAUUUGAUAUGUUUGAUAUAUUUGUUAACUUAUUUUAAAUUAUGUUAAAUUGAGCUAACUAUGACAGAAAAGGGGAAUUGGAGAAUUUAAGGACUCCAAGCCCAAAGUUUAUACGUCACUAAGCUUUAUGCUUAGUGAUAGUUAUUUUCUAUCGUAGGUAAUGUACAGGAUGAAAUCUGAAGACGGCCAUUAUGAAGUAGUCUUUUGGGAGCACUUAUGGAGAUCACAUUUGCAUAUGCACCUUGGUUUUGCAUAGUUUUGGGACAUGUACAUAAUAUAUAUAUUUAUGUAUGUUAUUUGGAGGCUUGUUGGAUUUUAAGACCAAAAUCUUGUAAUUUAAAUUUGGUAACUUAUUUCGCUGUUUUU
rnacentral:lncRNA from 1 species